UAUAACUUUCAGCAAUGGAUCUCUAGGCUCUCACGUCGAUGAAGAACACAGUGAAAUGUGAUACGUAAUGUGAAUUGCAGAAUUCAGUGAAUCAUCGAAUCUUUGAACGCACCUUGCACCUUUUGGUUUAUUCCGAAAGGUACACCUGUUUGAAUGU
rnacentral:rRNA from 1 species